rnacentral:rRNA from 1 species
UCGCUAGUAAUCGCGGAUCAGAAUGCCGCGGUGAAUACGUUCCCGGGUCUUGUACACACCGCCCGUCACACCAUGGGAGUCGGAAAUGCCCGAAGUCUGUGACCCAACCUACGGGAGGGAGCAGCCGAAGGCAGGUCGGAUGACUGGGGUGAAGUCGUAACAAGGUAGC